AUUACUCGUAUAGCCUCCUACGGGAUGCAGCAGUGGGGAAUCUUGGGCAAUGGGCGGAAGCCUGACCCAGCGACGCCGCGUGGGGGAGGAAGGCCUUCGGGUUGUAAACCCCGUUAGUGUGGGAAGAAGGGAUGACGGUACCACACGAAAGCCCCGGCUAACUACGUGCCAGCAGCCGCGGUAAGACGUAGGGGGCGAGCGUUGUCCGGAAUUACUGGGCGUAAAGGGCGCGUACGCGGUCAAUCAAGUCAGGUGUGAAAGACCCG
rnacentral:rRNA from 1 species